rnacentral:rRNA from 1 species
GCCAAGGAUGUUUUCAUUAAUCAAGAACGAAAGUUAGGGGAUCGAAGACGAUCAGAUACCGUCGUAGUCUUAACCAUAAACGAUGCCGACCAGCGAUUAGGAGACGUUGAAUACAAAACACCACCAUCGGUGCGGUCGUCCUUGGCGUCUCGGUCCUUCACGGGGCCGGGGCGCGGGGGUGGCUUAGCCCGGUGGCACCGGUGAAUGACUCCCCUAGCAGCUUGUGAGAAA